AGCGUACUCCUUUCCGCAUUCUUCCUCAUGGCCAAAAGCAAAUAUUUAUUCCCCGCAUAUUUUUCCCUUUCUUCCAGGCUCCAGUUCUGAAACCUGUGGAUUCCCCCGGCCAAACGUUGCUUGACUGGCACGAAUCGGGCCGGUUUGUUUUCCCCUGCUUUCUCGAGCUGCUUCUCAAAAUCGCCCUGCAGCGGGGCGGGGGGGAGAAGGGGGAAGGGGAGGCUGCUCUAUGGGGCAGCGCUGUUUUACAUACGGGUUAGACACGGCUAGAGGCCAAGGUCAAGUUGAAAGUUGCAGUCUAGCCAAUGUGAGAACUGUCAUUCACAGCCCGGAGAUCUGUCUGAUUUGUUAAAUCGGGUGGCCGUGAGAGCUGCA
rnacentral:lncRNA from 1 species